GAUGAAGAACGUAGCGAAAUGCGAUAAGUAAUGUGAAUUGCAGAAUUCAGUGAAUCAUCGAAUCUUUGAACGCACCUUGCGCUCCUUGGUAUUCCGAGGAGCAUGCCUGUUUGAGUGUCAUUAAUAUAUCAACCUUCUCUUUUUUGAGUUGUUUGGAUGUGGGGGUUUGCUGGCCUCUUAAAUGAUUCAGCUCCCCUGAAAUGCAUUAGCAGAACAACCUGUUCAUUAGCGUGAUAAUUAUCUAUGCUAUUGAAUGUGAGGGCAGUUCAGCUUUCUAACCGUCCUUGGACAAUUCAUCAUUAAUGUGACCUCAAAUCAGGUAGGACUACCCGCUGAACUUAAGCAUAUCAAUAAGCGGAGGU
rnacentral:misc_RNA from 1 species